rnacentral:rRNA from 1 species
AGAGUUUGAUCCUGGCUCAGGAUGAACGCUGGCGGCGUGCCUAAUACAUGCAAGUCGAGCGAACGGACGAGAAGCUUGCUUCUCUGAUGUUAGCGGCGGACGGGUGAGUAACACGUGGAUAACCUACCUAUAAGACUGGGAUAACUUCGGGAAACCGGAGCUAAUACCGGAUAAUAUUUUGAACCGCAUGGUUCAAAAGUGAAAGACGGUCUUGCUGUCACUUAUAGAUGGAUCCGCGCUGCAUUAGCUAGUUGGUAAGGUAACGGCUUACCAAGGCAACGAUGCAUAGCCGACCUGAGAGGGUGAUCGGCCACACUGGAACUGAGACACGGUCCAGACUCCUACGGGAGGCAGCAGUAGGGAAUCUUCCGCAAUGGGCGAAAGCCUGACGGAGCAACGCCGCGUGAGUGAUGAAGGUCUUCGGAUCGUAAAACUCUGUUAUUAGGGAAGAACAUAUGUGUAAGUAACUGUGCACAUCUUGACGGUACCUAAUCAGAAAGCCACGGCUAACUACGUGCCAGCAGCCGCGGUAAUACGUAGGUGGCAAGCGUUAUCCGGAAUUAUUGGGCGUAAAGCGCGCGUAGGCGGUUUUUUAAGUCUGAUGUGAAAGCCCACGGCUCAACCGUGGAGGGUCAUUGGAAACUGGAAAACUUGAGUGCAGAAGAGGAAAGUGGAAUUCCAUGUGUAGCGGUGAAAUGCGCAGAGAUAUGGAGGAACACCAGUGGCGAAGGCGACUUUCUGGUCUGUAACUGACGCUGAUGUGCGAAAGCGUGGGGAACAAACAGGAUUAGAUACCCUGGUAGUCCACGCCGUAAACGAUGAGUGCUAAGUGUUAGGGGGUUUCCGCCCCUUAGUGCUGCAGCUAACGCAUUAAGCACUCCGCCUGGGGAGUACGACCGCAAGGUUGAAACUCAAAGGAAUUGACGGGGACCCGCACAAGCGGUGGAGCAUGUGGUUUAAUUCGAAGCAACGCGAAGAACCUUACCAAAUCUUGACAUCCUUUGACAACUCUAGAGAUAGAGCCUUCCCCUUCGGGGGACAAAGUGACAGGUGGUGCAUGGUUGUCGUCAGCUCGUGUCGUGAGAUGUUGGGUUAAGUCCCGCAACGAGCGCAACCCUUAAGCUUAGUUGCCAUCAUUAAGUUGGGCACUCUAAGUUGACUGCCGGUGACAAACCGGAGGAAGGUGGGGAUGACGUCAAAUCAUCAUGCCCCUUAUGAUUUGGGCUACACACGUGCUACAAUGGACAAUACAAAGGGCAGCGAAACCGCGAGGUCAAGCAAAUCCCAUAAAGUUGUUCUCAGUUCGGAUUGUAGUCUGCAACUCGACUACAUGAAGCUGGAAUCGCUAGUAAUCGUAGAUCAGCAUGCUACGGUGAAUACGUUCCCGGGUCUUGUACACACCGCCCGUCACACCACGAGAGUUUGUAACACCCGAAGCCGGUGGAGUAACCUUUUAGGAGCUAGCCGUCGAAGGUGGGACAAAUGAUUGGGGUGAAGUCGUAACAAGGUAGCCGUAUCGGAAGGUGCGGCUGGAUCACCU